rnacentral:rRNA from 1 species
ACGGGAGGCAGCAGUGAGGAAUAUUGGUCAAUGGGCGGAAGCCUGAACCAGCCAAGUCGCGUGAGGGAAGACGGCCCUACGGGUUGUAAACCUCUUCUGCGCGGGGGUAAAGUCGGGGACGUGUCCCCGAUUGCAAGUACCGCGCGAAAAAGGAUCGGCUAACUCCGUGCCAGCAGCCGCGGUAAUACGGAGGAUCCGAGCGUUAUCCGGAUUUAUUGGGUUUAAAGGGUGCGCAGGCGGUCUUUUAAGUCAGUGGUUAAAUCGUGGAGCUCAACUCCAUCCCGCCAUUGAUACUGGAGGACUUGAUUGCGGUCGAGGUUGGCGGAAUUCGCCGUGUAGCGGUGAAAUGCAUAGAUAUGGCGAAGAACUCCGAUUGCGUAGGCAGCUGACCAGGCCGUAAAUGACGCUCAUGCACGAAAGUGCGGGGAUCGAACAGGAUUAGAUACCCUGGUA